GACGGGGCCGCGACAAGCAGUGGAGUAUGUGGUUAAUUCGUAAGCAACGCGAAGACCUUACAGGGCUUGACAUACUGACUGACCGGUCUGGAGACAGUACCUUCCUUCGGGACAUCGGAUACAGGUGGUGCAUGGUUGUCGUCAGCUCGUGUCGUGAGAUGUUGGGUUAAGUCCCGCAACGAGCGCAACCCCUACGUUUAGUUGCUAACGCGUGAAGGCGAGCACUCUAGACGAACUGCCGUUGACAAAACGGAGGAAGGUGGGAUGACGUCAAAUCAUCAUGCCCCUUAUGUUCUGGGCUACACACGUGCUACAAUGGCCGGUACAGACGGACGCAAAGCCGCGAGGUGGAGCAAAUCCUAAAAAGCCGGUCUCAGUUCGGAUUGCAGGCUGCAACUCGACUGCAUGAAGUUGGAAUCGCUAGUAAUCGCAGAUCAGCACGCUGCGGUGAAUAAGUUCUCGGGUUUU
rnacentral:rRNA from 1 species